UACGUAGGGGGCUAGCGUUGUCCGGAAUCAUUGGGCGUAAAGCGCGUGUAGGCGGUCCGGUAAGUCCGCUGUGAAAGUCGGGGGCUCAACCCUCGGAUGCCGGUGGAUACUGUCGGGCUUGAGUACGGAAGAGGCGAGUGGAAUUCCUGGUGUAGCGGUGAAAUGCGCAGAUAUCAGGAGGAACACCGGUGGCGAAAGCGCUCAUCUGGCCCGAUACUGACGCUGAAGCACGAAAGCUAGGGGAGCAAACGGG
rnacentral:rRNA from 1 species